CUAGAAAUUCGAUCGAUUGGUACGAGGGACCACGUGGCCAGGGGCUGGCCAAUGACCAGGCCGCCCGGGAUGAGCUAAUAAUGGAAGCAAUUUGUAACUUUCAGUAGCUCUCUAGGCCUGGGUACCGGAGGGAGGGAGGCGGGCAGAGGAGGGGAGAUGGGCACCCCCAGUCUUUCCAUCCUCCUCAUUCGUCUAGGGGCACCCGAAUCCCCUAUUCCUUAUUUCCCCUAUCACUCAGGCACUGGCAGGGUCCUUUGCCCACUCCUGUUGGCCGCUGCGGCUCCAAAGCGAGCUGGGCAGAUGUGCCUGAGACAGGUUUGACCAGGCAACUGAAAAGACAUCCCUAAGAGAAGACAAAGCAAAGGUAUGAAAGGAACACACGUCCCUGACUGACUAGGAGGAACAGAGCUGCCUGCUAUCUGGAACAACUUCCUCCCAGACUAACUGUGAGUCAAACAGA
rnacentral:lncRNA from 1 species